rnacentral:rRNA from 1 species
UACGAAGGGGGCUAGCGUUGCUCGGAAUUACUGGGCGUAAAGCGCACGUAGGCGGAUCUUUAAGUCAGGGGUGAAAUCCUGGAGCUCAACUCCAGAACUGCCUUUGAUACUGAGGACCUUGAGUUCGGGAGAGGUGAGUGGAACUGCGAGUGUAGAGGUGAAAUUCGUAGAUAUUCGCAAGAACACCCGUGGCGAAGGCGGCUCUCUGGGACGGUACUGACGCUGAGACGCGAAAGCGUGGGGAGCGAACAGG